CAUGGAGUCCGUACCUAGUCAAGCACAAGACGAAGCUGGAAAAAGUUCAGAGAAGAGGAUGUUGGUCUGCCCUUGGAAACCUCCAGCUGCUGACAGUGUUGGAGCUUUGGCAUUUUACUUGUGUUACUUCCUGGCAAGAUCAGUAUUUUCUCAUUUUCAACAAAGAGGACGAGGACUUAGUGUAUUUUGACAGCAGCUAUCAACAUAACAGGAAGUUUCUGGAGGGCUUUUACCAUGUACGAACUGACUAGUAUUACAGCUGCAACCUUUAUUCAUCAGGAGGGUUGUAGUUACCAGGUGCGGGAAGAUCUUCUGUAAUUUUUCAACGAGUUCACCUGUACAAAUAUGAUGCCAAAAUAUGAGUGGUAUAUUAAGUAAUUAUAAAAAGACAGCACCAAGCUAAAGACUACAGGAAUAUAUUAAACAAUUUCAGGUUUACUUGUGCCAUAUAGACAGUUGCAGACCAACUGGCCACAUAAACCCCAUGAACAACUACCAUGGCACAAGUGAAGGAACUCCUCUUUUUUAUUUAAUGGAUCUAAUCUGACAAUAUUCACACUUUAAAUAUUUUAUAGUGAUCUACUCAAUAAAUACUGUUUGAUCCUUGUGA
rnacentral:lncRNA from 1 species